rnacentral:rRNA from 1 species
UACGAAGGGGGCUAGCGUUGUUCGGAAUCACUGGGCGUAAAGCGUAUGCAGGCGGACCGUUAAGUCGGGGGUGAAAUCCCAGGGCUCAACCCUGGAACUGCCUUCGAUACUGGCGGCCUUCGAGUCCGGGAGAGGUGAGUGGAACUCCGAGUGUAGAGGUGAAAUUCGUAGAUAUUCGGAAGAACACCAGUGGCGAAGGCGGGUCUCUGGACAGUUCCUGACACUGAGGCACGAAGGCCAGGGGAGCAAACGGG